rnacentral:rRNA from 1 species
UCGAGAAUCAUUCGCAAUGGGCGAAAGCCUGACGGUGCGACGCCGCGUGGAGGAUGAAGGCCCUCGGGUUGUAAACUCCUGUCAUCAGGGAGUAAGGCAGUGGAUGCGAAUAGCUUUCACUGUUGCUAGUACCUGAAGAGGAAGAGACGGCUAACUCUGUGCCAGCAGCCGCGGUAAUACAGAGGUCUCAAGCGUUGUUCGGAUUUACUGGGCGUAAAGCGUGCGUAGGCGGCGAGGUAAGUCAGAUGUGAAAGCUCGGGGCUCAACCCCGAAACUGCAUCCGAUACUGCCUUGCUAGAGUAAUGGAGGGGGAUCUGGAAUUCACGGUGUAGCAGUGAAAUGCGUAGAUAUCGUGAGGAACACUAGUGGCGAAGGCGAGAUCCUGGACAUUUACUGACGCUCAGGCACGAAGGCUAGGGUAGCGAAGCGGAUUAGAUACCCCCGUAGUCC